rnacentral:misc_RNA from 1 species
CAAAAUCCUAGUUUUAUAGCCCCUCUGUUUUUCCCCUUUUCGUUGUGCCGCCACCGUUCUAUGCGCCUCCAUCAUCAUCAUCGCCAUCCUCCUCCUCCCACUCCCCAUCAUCACCAGAAGCUAGGGUUUCCGGGGUUUUCUCUCACCUUACGAGCUGGAUUCUCUCUCCUUUAUCUGGCGAAUCUCUAUGCGCCGCUGGUUCAGCGGUUUUGUUGAUUAGGCUCUGGUGUAUCGGGCCUCUCUCUUUCCCCACAUAUCAUCUGUUUUCUCUCGAUCCCUAAACGCAUCACACAUAAUCUCCAAACCUUGGAUUUACGGUCCAUUUCAUUUGACCUGGUUUAUCAAUUAGGGCAACGUUGAUUGCUUGCUUUGGUUUGAUUGUUGUGUAUAUUAUUUAUUUGGCAAAAGGCUUUUACGUUUUUUUGAGGGUUUUGGGGAUUUGGAUGGCAUUGGGGGAUUUGAUGGCGUCUCGGUUUUCGCAAACUUCGGUGGCUGUGGUGUCCAAUCACUACGAUGACUACGCUUCCAGUCAUGGUGAGGACGCUGGAGAUUCAUCCUCGCAGAGGAGAGAUUCGGAGACUGCGAGCAGUAGUUAUGGCAAUGCUGCUGUCACCACAACAAGUAUGGCCUAUUUGCCCCAGACUAUUGUGCUCUGUGAGCUUCGUCAUGACGCAUUUGAAGCUUCCGUGCCUACUGGUCCAUCUGACAGUGGCCUUGUAUCCAAAUGGCGGCCUAAGGACAGAAUGAGGACAGGAUGUGUAGCUCUAGUUUUAUGUUUACACAUUAGUGUUGAUCCACCUGAUGUCAUAAAGAUAUCACCUUGUGCCAGAAUGGAGUGCUGGAUAGAUCCAUUUUCAAUGGCACCUCAAAAAGCUCUUGAUACAAUUGGGAAAACCUUAAUUAAGCAGUAUGAAAGAUGGCAACCUAAGGCUCGUUAUAAAUGUGAACUUGAUCCUACUGUCGAUGAUGUUAAGAAACUUUGUAAUAAUUUUCGAAGAUAUGCCAAGUCUGAGAGAGUUCUGUUUCACUAUAAUGGACAUGGUGUUCCAAAGCCAACUGCUAAUGGUGAAAUUUGGCUGUUUAAUAAGAGCUAUACACAGUAUAUCCCUUUGCCAAUCAGUGAUCUUGAUUCCUUGUUGAGGACUCCAUCAAUCUAUGUUUUUGACUGCUCUGCUGCUGGGAGGAUUGUCAAUGCAUUUUUAGAGCUUCAUGACUGGAAUUCUUCUAGUUCUACUGGAUCUGUGAAGGACUGUAUUUUGCUUGCAGCCUGUGAAGCACAUGAGACUCUUCCUCAGAGUGUAGAAUUUCCUGCUGAUGUGUUUACUUCUUGCCUCACUACACCUAUCAAGAUGGCGUUGAGAUGGUUCUGCAAACGUUCAUUAUUACAUGAGUCCCUUGACCAUUCACUAAUAGAUAAAAUUCCUGGUCGACAAAAUGACCGUAAAACACUGCUUGGAGAAUUGAAUUGGAUCUUUACAGCAGUGACAGACACGAUUGCUUGGAAUGUUCUCCCUCAUGAUCUUUUCCAGAGACUGUUCAGACAAGAUUUGUUAGUUGCCAGUUUGUUCAGAAAUUUUUUACUGGCUGAGAGGAUUAUGCGUUCUGCAAAUUGUUCUCCAGUUUCUCUCCCAAUGUUGCCGCCAACUCAUCAGCAUCAUAUGUGGGAUGCAUGGGAUAUGGCUGCUGAAAUUUGCCUAUCUCAGCUUCCAUUGUUGGUUGAGGAUCCUAAUGCCGAGUUCCAGGUCUGUAAUAGAUUUUGACUUAAUUUUUGCAAGCAUCUGGAUUUUGGAACAAUGAUGAUUCCAUACCCUUAGCUUAUAACCUUUUAUUUUGUGUGUAAUGUGUGCUUGUUUUGUGUCAGCCAAGUCCUUUUUUCACUGAGCAGCUGAUGGCUUUUGAGGUUUGGUUGGAUCAUGGAUCUGAAGAUAAGAAGCCACCAGAGCAGUUGCCUAUUGUUCUCCAGGUUCUACUUAGUCAAAGCCAUCGGUUUAAAGCACUGGUGCUUCUUGGGAGAUUUCUCGAUAUGGGAUCCUGGGCUGUAGAUCUGGCAUUAUCUGUUGGAAUAUUUCCAUAUGUUUUGAAGCUGUUGCAAACAACAACACCAGAACUAAGGCAAAUUCUCGUAUUCAUAUGGACAAAAAUUCUGGCACUUGACAAGUCAUGCCAAGUUGAUCUUGUUAAGGAUGGGGGACAUGCAUAUUUUAUCAGGUUUCUGGAUAGCAUGGAAGCAUAUCCCGAACAGCGAGCAAUGGCUGCAUUUGUUUUGGCUGUUAUUGUUGAUGGGCACAGAAGGGGUCAAGAGGCUUGUACUGAAGCUGGUGUGGUUCUUGUGUGCUUGAAGCACCUUCAGGGUUCAAUGCCGAAUAACGGUCAAUCUGAGCCUCUAUUUCUUCAGUGGCUUUGCCUGUGUUUAGGAAAGUUGUGGGAGGAUUUCACUGAGGCUCAAAUUAUGGGUUUGCAGGCAGAUGCACCUGCUAUAUAUGCUCCUCUGCUCUCAGAGCCCCAACCUGAGGUUAGGGCUUCUGCUGUCUUUGCAUUGGGAACCUUGCUUGAUGUUGGAGGUGAUGCAUGCAGAGAUGG